UGGCCGCCUUGGCCGGGGCCGCGGCGCUGGCGGUGCUGUACCUGCUGGUGCAUAUGGCCGCGCCGCGUUCGAUGGGCGGCGGCGAC
rnacentral:tRNA from 2 species